ensembl:lncRNA
GUAUGAGAACAUUAUAAGCUCAGAAAAAUGGCUAAAAAUGAAAUACAUGUAACAUGAAAGGGACAAUUCACCCAAAAAUGAAAAGUCUGUCAUCAUUUACCUUAAUGUUGUUCUAAACCUGUAUGAGUUACUUUGUACACAGAAUAUGAUAUUUUAGAGAAUGUUGGUAAUUAAACAUUUGCUGGACUUCACUGACUUUCAAAGUAUGAAAAAAAAAACAUACUAUGGGAGUCAAUGGGGACCACAAACUGUUGCCAACAUUUUUCAAAAUAUCUUCUUUUGUAUUCAGCAGAACAAAGAAACACUGGUUUGUAACAACUUGAAGAUGAGUGGGGAAGAGACACCUGGAUGCCUAACUUAAAGAGAAAGCGUCAAGAUGAACCCUUUCCUCGUCUCAAGGCAACAGCUGUAACAAAAAGGCCAAACAAAGCAGAAGCAGCUAAACUUCCAGUUCCACCCAAGCUGCAACCAACCUUCACAGAAUCUUCCCACCAUCCCACCUGUGACCCUUCAGUUCCCUCAUCACAAGAUUUACCUGAAGAUGUUGAAGAGCCUCCCAGACCAUCCCCAAUGGCAGCAACAGAAUAUUCAAAUGCAGAGAGACAACCAUGGACAAGGCGUCCACAAGAUUUUUCAGUGCCAAAAGACCUCAAAGAAACACUGCAGGUGCUGCUGCAGAAAGUAGACACCCUGGCGGCCUCCCAGAGGGAAAUUCUACUUUUACUGCGGAGGAACCAGGGUCGUCAAAGGGAGGAUGAUAUCUUGGACCUCAAGACAGCUCAGUGCAUGGAGGAAUUGGAGGACCUUGAGAACCACCUUAAGGACCCUGAAUUUAGAAAGAAAGUGACACACCAUCUCAGCCUUAUUAGUGGGGCCAGUCCAGGGGAGUGUGUAAGGAGGGUAAUGCGCGCAGUAGCCACUAACAAUGUAUGGAGCCACUACAGCCUGCAUGGGAAGCGAAAGAAGCUGGCUCUAAUUAAUAAAACAAUAUGUAAAGUUAUCACACGUAAGUCAGAAUGAUUUGUUUAUGAACAGAGACAAAUGUGCUACAAAUUUGAAAAUUUAAUUAUAAAGCUACAGAUUUUCUUGACUUUCUACAAGUCCUUUUCCACAUUUUUCACAACUUUUCUUUACUUUUUUUUUUUAACUGAAAUUAAAAAUGUAAAUUUUGACAUUGGAAUACUUUCUGUAAAGAUACUUUAAUUAGUAUGAUUUUUAUAGUAUGACAAAGUAGUAUGAUUAAUGAAAUUAUAAGUGUAUACAUUGUAUUUAAAUUAUACACUUGACAUUUCUAUUUAAUUUAUACACAAUUGAACAUGUGAAUAAACACUCAUAAAACAAGCACGAACAAAGUUCUGGCACUUACAUACUGUAACGGCUGUGACCUCUGUUUAAUUCCAGAUGCCGUCAUGAAAUGGAAAGCUGGUCUUGGGGAGAAGGAGAUAGAAAGUUUAAUAGCAGAGACUCUUAAACAUGCGCCGGCGCACAUAAAUAAAAGUGUCGAGGGACAUGUAGAGGAGUGGACGGAGGAGUAGAUGUGGAGGAGUAAAUGGUUCGGUGUUCAAGCUUCUGAAGAAAACCUUCUUUGUUCAUUUACA